CAGCCGCCGCGGGAAUACAGAGGGUGCAAGCGUUAAUCGGAAUUACUGGGCGUAAAGCGCGCGUAGGUGGUUUGUUAAGUUGGAUGUGAAAUCCCCGGGCUCAACCUGGGAACUGCAUCCAAAACUGGCAGGCUAGAGUAGGGCAGAGGGUGGUGGAAUUUCCUGUGUAGCGGUGAAAUGCGUAGAUAUAGGAAGGAACACCAGUGGCGAAGGCGACCACCUGGGCUCAUACUGACACUGAGGUGCGAAAGCGUGGGGAGCAAACAGGAUUAGAUACCCCCGUAGUCCCUGUCUCUUAUAC
rnacentral:rRNA from 1 species